CAGCCGCCGCGGGAAAACGGAGGGAGCUAGCGUUGUUCGGAAUUACUGGGCGUAAAGGGCGCGUAGGCGGAUUGCGCAGUCAGAUGUGAAAUUCCUGGGCUUAACCUGGGGGCUGCAUUUGAGACGCGUAGUCUAGAGUGUGAAAGAGGGUCGUGGAAUUCCCAGUGUAGAGGUGAAAUUCGUAGAUAUUCGGAGGAACACCAGUGGCGAAGGCGGCUCACUGGUCCAUUACUGACGCUGAGGUGCGAAAGCGUGGGGAGCAAACAGGAUUAGAUACCCCGGUAGUCCCUGUCUCUUAUAA
rnacentral:rRNA from 1 species